GUUGAGAGGAGCGCACCGGAGAAAGAACACACGAGCUGCGGGACAGUGAGAGGAACACACUGGUAGAAGAGCACACAGGCAGCUGGAUGUCGAGAGGAGCGGAAGAGCACAGCGACAGGCACUGGUGUCGACCAGCGGAACGACGUGGAGUUUGGCCUGGGAGGUCAGAGAAGAAUUUGGCUGCUGGGCAGCCCCACUAUAGGGGAAAACCACCUUCCCACUCCAUUCCCCUUCUGAUCUCCCCAUCCACCUCGCUGAGAGCUACCACAACUCAAUAAAAAACCUAGCACUCGAUCUCCAAGCCCACAUGUGAUCCAAUUUUUCCCGUGCACUAAAGCAAGAACCUGGGAUACAGAAAGCCGUCUGUCCUUGUGAUAAGGCAGAGGGUCUAAUUGAGCUGAUUAACACAAGCCACCUGCGGACAGCUAAGCUGAAAAAGCAUCCUGUAACACACGCCCACUGGGGCCUCAGGAGGUGUAAACAUUCACCCCGAGAGGCUGCAUGGGUCCGCGCCCAUGGUCCCCAUGACUUGCCUGUUUGCCUGCUCUGGCUAAGGGUCUUGACCAGUGGGGCACUGAAGAAGCGAGCCACACCUCCAUCGUACGCCCUGCGAGGAGGGGUCUCACUCAGUGACCCAGGCUGAAUGCAGUGGAACAAUCAUGGCUUACUGUAGCCUUGACCUUGAGGGCUUAAGCAAUCCUGCCACCUCAGCCUGCCUAGUACUGGGACUACAGGUACGCGCCACCACGCCCAGAAAUUGCCACAGUCACCUCAACCUUCAGCAACCACCAACUUGAUCAAUCAGCAGCCAAUAACGUGAAGUCAUGACCAUUCACCAGCAAAAAGUUUAUGAUUCACCAAAAUAUUAGAU
rnacentral:lncRNA from 10 species